rnacentral:lncRNA from 1 species
UGACUAUGAUAAACCGGUUACAUCAAUUAAAUGAGAAACAUUAUAACUUUUUACAUAUGACAUAUGUCAUCAGUAAAAUAAUUCUUAUAAUCACUAAGAAUUAAGUUAGUCCACCUAAACAUAUACUAUAAUUUUUAUUAAACUAAUCAUAAAUUAAUUAUUAUUUUUCAAAAAUAUUUUUUUCUUUUUUUUUUCCUUUAAAUAAAAGCUACGGAUUUACCUAAUAUGAUUAAUAUAUAUAUAUAUUGUAAUUAAUUAUGUUGAAUAAUAAAUGUUUGGGAAAAAUAUAUCCUACAUCAUUUUUGUAUAAUUUAUAUUAUUAAAAUAAAUUAAACAAUCAUAUUCACCAUAUAAUAUAUGUUAUAUUUGAUUUAAUUUAAAAAUUACUUUAAAUUAUUUUUUU